UAACCCUGCUGAUUUAAUGAUGAUCUUCUGGUUAGCUUCCUUAAAUAAACUCAUCAUCAUCAUCACUAUUAUUAAUAAUAUGUCCCUCCACAUUAUUGUUAAUUCCCCAAUAGCAUGGCCAAUGGCAGGGAUGGUGGGACAUGUGUUCCAGCACUAUCUCAAGGACCACAGGUUAUGACGGCCUUCUCCAACCUAUUGUUCUCCAGCUGUUUUGGAGUACAACUGCCUUGGCCACAGACACCUCAACCAUGUUGGCUGGGGCUGAUGGGAGUUAUAGUCCAAAACAGCUGGAAGGCAACAAUUUGAGAUUAUGCUGCCUUAACCUAACAGCUAUCAAACUAAGCAGCCAGGGCAUUAAAAAAAAAAAGGCUAUUGUGUUAUCUGUAUUGGGAUUUGUCAAACCAGGCUUAUGAGAACAUUUCUGUGGAAUGCAUUUUAAUCCUUUUAUUUCUUAAGACUUGAACAAUGUUUAUUUUGGUGGGUGGGUGACCCCCUCCAUGUUUCCAUAGGCAUUCCCUUGGGUUCUUCUCACUCUCUAAAAUAAAAGUAAAACCCACAGGAAAAUGUUGGUGCACUUGUGAUUCCCAGCAACUGGUAUUCAGAGGCACACUGCCUCUGACAGUGGCGAGAGAUCAUAGUCUUCAUGGCUGGGGACCUAAUGAUAGCUUCCUCUUCCAUUCAAUCCUCUUCUGAAAGCCAUACAGGUUGUGAUGAAAUAUUUGUGCAGACCAGGUGUCUGGCUGUGUCUGGCUGAACAUUCUGUUUCUAGCAGUGAUCAUCAGGAAGCUCAUGCAUGGGCCAAGAAGCAUUGGUGUGCAUGGAUUUUAAAAACUAAAUAGCAGGCACAGGGGACCUGAUCUACAAAGAGAUCAAGGAACAGGGUGACUUCCUCACUUCCUCCCCGCUGCCCCUGUGGUUCCAAUCCAGAUGGAGGCUCUUACACCUGCUAUUUACAUUAGAAGUAAAAUUUCCAUGGGCACCAAUGGAGACCUUUUCUUCAUGUGCAAAUAGCAGGUGCAGGAACCCCCAAUCCAUACUGAAACUAAAGGAAGGACAAGUGUUUAAAGGCCACAAGGUUCCUGUCUGGAUGAGCACACAUGCACACAUCACAUCUGCAAGUGGCUUUCUAAAUGCCCCCCUCCCCAUUUCAUGAAUUGUACAAAUGGCAUCUUGUCUGGUUUGGUGUUUGAAUAUAUACUUGGAAGAUCACUUUUUAUGCUGACACCUGGACAGCUGACAUUUAGGCACACCCUGUCUCUAAUCAUUUUAUCCAGCAAAGUAAGAAAUGCUUUUUGUUUUUGUUCAUCACCUGUGCCAUCUCCCAGAUUAAGUAUAUAAUUAAAGCAUUUUCAUGGUGGCUGGCUUGUUCCUUCUGCCCAUCAUGGGAUCUAAAGUAUAACUGACUGUUCCACCCACCCGCUUUCCACUUUGUGUUGGAAGGAUUUUGCGUUGUGGGUUUUAAUGCUAGCAAAUGAUCUGGAACUCCAUGGGGAGAAAACAUCAAUUAUGAUCCAUGGGCAAAGCAAUCCUAUACACAUGUGACACUGGGGUUGAGAUAUGCCACCCCUAUGCCUAGGGAAGGAGCCAAAACUCAUAAAGUCUCUAUCUCAGUAGGAGAGCAUUUGCUUUGCAUACAGAACAUCCAGAAACCUCCUGUCUGAAAGCCUCAGGCACUGCUGCCAGUCAGUGUAGACGAUAGUGAGCGAGAUGGACUACAAAGGUUCUUUGGCUCACUACAAAGGUUCUUAUUUAAGACAGUAGAAUGGUCUCCAUAACUAGGACUGUGCCCAGAUUUGGCCAAAAUCUAAAUCCUGAACUGAAUCAGGUCAAUUCAUGGACAGCCAGGCUUAGCCUGAGUUGGGUGGAGUUAGCUGCAGACUGACCCAGAGUUGUUAGGGGCACGGCAUUGGGCAGGAAGGAGAGGCAGGAAGAAGAAGCACCAAGAAGUCUUAAGAGAGUAAGAAGGAUCUACUGAAUCAGCCAUGUCCUCUUUCAGCAGGCCUUUGGCUGAUUGACAUCUGAUGCCCCUUUAAAAUGUGUUGUGAAAUGUGUGUUAUUGAAUUUGUCUUUUUAUUUUUAUUAUGUAUUUUGCAUUUUUUAUGUUGUGAUUUUAUGUUGUGAACCACCCUGAGUGCCUGGGUACAUGGAGCUGGACCUCACUGGACUUCUUGCACCAAGUUAGAAAAUGCCAGGCAGCUGCGUUCUCCCCCACAAGCGACCCUCGGGAUGAUUCAUCACUCUUCUUUCCCGAUGUGCUUCUAUGACAUAUAUCCGAGGAUUUAUGCACGCAAUACAAAAACAGAGUCCAAGCAGAAGCUAGGCAUUGGAGGUGUGGAUUUCUAAGCUACUCUAUUAUGUACAAAACAGAACAAAGGAAAUCAUGGCUCCUCUCUCCUCCAUCUCUGAGAGAGCAGAAAAGCAAUGGUAAAACAUAACGGAACAGGGUUACUGAACUUCCGUUCUCAUGACUCCAACAGUAUGGAAUGUCAACACAGACAUGUGAUGAAAACAAUCACAUAUCCAGCAACGGGAGGAAUGAAAUCCCAACACUGAGAUCUACAGGUAUAGGGCAUUCUAGAAUAAGAAUAAGAAUA